CAGCCGCCGCGGUAAUACGUAGGUGGCAAGCGUUGUCCGGAAUUAUUGGGCGUAAAGCGCGCGCAGGCGGUUCCUUAAGUCUGAUGUGAAAUCUCGCGGCUCAACCGCGAGCGGCCAUUGGAAACUGGGGAACUUGAGUGCAGGAGAGGGGAGCGGAAUUCCACGUGUAGCGGUGAAAUGCGUAGAGAUGUGGAGGAACACCAGUGGCGAAGGCGGCUCUCUGGCCUGUAACUGACGCUGAGGCGCGAAAGCGUGGGGAGCGAACAGGAUUAGAUACCCUGGUAGUCCACGCCGUAAACGAUGAGUGCUAAGUGUUAGAGGGUAUCCACCCUUUAGUGCUGCAGCAAACGCAUUAAGCACUCCGCCUGGGGAGUACGGCCGCAAGGCUGAAGCUUAAAGGAAUUGGCGGG
rnacentral:rRNA from 1 species